GGAAAUUAACACAGUCCAAUCAACAUGUUAAACUCAUGCACAAGAGUUUGAUAAAAACAUAUUUCUUUGGAUCCAUAUUUCUAACAUAUAAUCAGCCACAUACAGGUUCUUCUGCUAGAGUAAUUUACAUUGAUGAAAAUGGGAGUUAAACACAACAGAAAUGAAAAUGGGAGCAGAAGAUUGUAGCUGAAGAGACAACAUUCUCAUUGUCCGGGGACAAAGUUAGUAGCAAAAGCCCAUGCGUUGUUCGCGACAGGGUCAGCAACAUGGUCAUAAAGGUUCUGAAUAGGGCCCUUGCCAGUAACAAUGGCUUGAACAAAGAAACCAAACAUGGAGAACAUAGCCAGCCGACCAUUCUUGAGUUCCUUGACCUUCAACUCUGCAAAUGAAUCAG
rnacentral:lncRNA from 1 species